rnacentral:rRNA from 1 species
UCAGAGGCGAUGAAGGACGUGCUAAUCUGCGAAAAGCGUCGGUAAGGUGAUAUGAACCGUUAUAACCGGCGAUGUCCGAAUGGGGAAACCCAGUGCAAUUCGUUGCACUAUCGUUAACUGAAUACAUAGGUUAACGAGGCGAACCGGGGGAACUGAAACAUCUAAGUACCCCGAGGAAAAGAAAUCAACCGAGAUUCCCC